rnacentral:rRNA from 1 species
ACUCCUACGGGAGGCAGCAGUGGGGAAUUUUGCGCAAUGGGCGAAAGCCUGACGCAGCGACGCCGCGUGCGGGAUGAAGGCCCUCGGGUCGUAAACCGCUGUCGUGAGGGACGAACAAGUCCGGAAUGAAUAAGUCCGGGCCCUGACGGUACCUCAUGAGAAAGCCCCGGCUAACUACGUGCCAGCAGCCGCGGUAACACGUAGGGGGCAAGCGUUGUUCGGAAUUACUGGGCGUAAAGGGUCCGCAGGGCGGCCGUGCAAGUUGAGGGUGAAAUCCCC